rnacentral:rRNA from 2 species
GGGUUGUGAGGUUAAGCGACUAAGCGUACACGGUGGAUGCCCUGGCAGUCAGAGGCGAUGAAGGGCGUGCUAAUCUGCGAUAAGCGCCGGUAAGGUGAUAUGAACCGUUAUAACCGGCGAUACCCGAAUGGGGAAACCCAGUGUGAUUCGUCACACUAUCAUUAACUGAAUCCAUAGGUUAAUGAGGCGAACCGGGGGAACUGAAACAUCUAAGUACCCCGAGGAAAAGAAAUCAACCGAGAUUCCCCCAGU